GACGAACGCUGGCGGCGUGCUUAACACAUGCAAGUCGAGCGGAAAGGCCCUUUCGGGGGUACUCGAGCGGCGAACGGGUGAGUAACACGUGAGUAAUCUGCCUCUGGCUUCGGGAUAGCCACCGGAAACGGUGAUUAAUACCGGAUAUGACAUCUUCACGCAUGUGAUGGGUGUGGAAAGUUUUUUCGGCCAGGGAUGUGCUCGCGGCCUAUCAGCUUGUUGGUGGGGUAAUGGCCUACCAAGGCUUCGACGGGUAGCCGGCCUGAGAGGGUGACCGGCCACACUGGGACUGAGACACGGCCCAGACUCCUACGGGAGGCAGCAGUGGGGAAUAUUGGUCAAUGGGCGGAAGCCUGAUCCAGCAACGCCGCGUGAGGGAUGACGGCCUUCGGGUUGUAAACCUCUUUCAGCACAGACGAAGCGCAAGUGACGGUAUGUGCAGAAGAAGGACCGGCCAACUACGUGCCAGCCGCCGCAGUAACAC
rnacentral:rRNA from 1 species